AUACGGAGGAUGCGAGCGUUAUCCGGAUUUAUUAGGUUUAAAGGGUGUGUAGGCGGUAUUUUAAGUCAGUGGUGAAAUCUCGGAGCUUAACUUCGAAACUGCCAUUGAUACUGGAAUACUAGAGUAUAGUUGAGGUAGGCGGAAUAUGUAAUGUAGCGGUGAAAUGCAUAGAUAUUACAUAGAACACCGAUUGCGAAGGCAGCUUACUAAACUAUUACUGACGCUGAUGCACGAAAGCAUGGGGAGCGAACAGGAUUAGAUACCCUAGUAGUCC
rnacentral:rRNA from 1 species